UAGGAUUUAAGAAUUUAACUUUCUUUUUUGUAAUUCACCCUUAUAAUUUAGAUAUGUAUAAGCUGAAGUUUGUCUGUUUCGUGUUGGCUCACUCAUCACAAUUAAUUCAGCUAAUUUUUGGAAUGUGACUUUAGUGGACUAUAUAUUGUAUUGUGAUUGGGCUGCUCAUUUUGACACCUUUUUGACACCUCUUUUAUAGCAGUGUUAUACAAUAUUUUUAGGUUUUUUAGGCCAAGAUAGACAUUUUCAGUAUGCAUUUGUUUAAGCUAUUUUUAAAAAGAUAUAGAAAAAAUAAAAUAAGUUUAUAAAUGUUUAAGGAUAAAGUUGACAUUUUUUUUUUAUUUUGAAAUUUUUCAUUUAAAAUGGUAGUGUAGUACUAGUGUAUUACUUUUUUCAUAUCUCAAAAGGUUAACUUUGCAACAUAAGGUAAUUAUAGUUUAAAAUGAUUAAAUCAAAUCAAUGAUCCAUAUUUUAAAAACAUUAGUUCAAGUUAAUAACGCGUAAAAUUGUCUUGGAAUAAAAAUAUAAAAAUAAUAACCAUGUUUAUCAAAAGUAUAGUUUUGAACAAAAAGAGUCUUUUUUAAAGUAAUUUAGAAAUGUUUCCCUUUGUGGUAACAUUCAAACCAAUGUGCUGAACAGAGACUAAUAUCACAACUGCAAACAUCUAUAACAACUCUGUUUUCUUUUGCCGGCUUUUUUACAAACAACACAUCUUCGUGAUGCAUUAAUUUUUUUCUCAGUCGUAGGAACAUAUGACAGAAAAUGUUGCUUGACUAAUCUACAAGGGUUGUUGUUAGUACUAAGUCUGCCUCCAUUUCAAUACAUUCAGUGUCCUGAUCAUACCUUUCAAUUAGUUCGCUAAUCAAGUGGUGUUAGUGGACUGCAUAUUUUCCAAUUAAGACUACUAUUAUUAUUAUUACUUUUUUGACCAUUUUUUAAUUGCUUUUGUUAUAUGGGAUGGAAUUCAUUUGGUCUUAGUGAUCAACACCGCCAAUUGAUUUAUUAUAAAAACCCUAACCAGUAAAACAACUUUAUCAUGUCUGCGUCACUUGACAAUGAUAUCUUCAUCUGAUAUGCAGGAAGUGAGCAUUUACAUGUCACACUUGUCUUUCCACUGCACAUUACAAUGUUAGUUGGACAGUAUGCUACUUUCUUUAGUUAUAUAGUUCAGAAAUUCAUCAGUUGUCAUCAGUUCAAAAAUAUUAAUAUAUUCAAACUUUGUACAGCAUAUGAUAGCUAGGUGUAUCAAAAAAUUGUCAUUGCAUGGUGCCUACAGACGCUGUUUUUUUGCCAUUUGAUUUUUUAUAAAUAAUCAACAGUUCUUUCAUGUUUUGCGAAUUAUUCUAUGAAAAGAAGUUUUUUUAAUCAAUCCUUUGUAUGACUUAUUUUUUAUUGGUUGUUGCAACAAAAUAAACUAUUAAGAAGGGAUCAAUGGCAAGUGACCUACAGUCCUUUUCAACAUUUUUUCAAACUUAAUUUGUAUUUCUAAUUCAAACCCUGAUUGAUUUAAUAGAUUCAAACUGCUCACCUCUGUCAUUUAUUUUUUUAUCCCCCUUUUUAGUUAAAAAGAUAUUAAAUUUACAAGAAUGUACACUGGUUUUAACACCUAUCUUGGUUAUGAAGAUAAAUCUUUAUUAGAACAUGAAUUUGUUGUCUUGUCAAGCAAGAAGAUAGAUGGAAAUUUCAUACUGCAUCAUUUUAUUUCACAAUAUCUGAAAAAUGAUGCACACAUUGUAUUGUUUGGAUUUUCUCAAAUUUUAACACAUUACUCCAGUGCAUGCCAUAAACUAGGUGUUAAUAUUUCAACGGCUCGUGAUAAUAACCAAUUUGUUUAUGUUGACAUUCUGCAGCUGAUGCAAGAUGGAUUUUUAUGUGAAAAUCCAUCCAAAGAUGUCAUAUUUUCUAAUUUGAAUUCCUCGACCUUUUCAUUAAAAAAAAUCUACAAGAUGAUACAAGCCAAAAUUCCUGCAGAUAAGCCCACACUUGUUUUGAUUGAUGACAUCAGCAUAUUGGUGAACAUUGGAGUUACCGUACAAGCUGUUUGUGAUUUCAUACAUUACUGUAAAGUACUUAGCAUGCAAAAGAAUGCAAGUUUUAUCAUCUCAACUCAGCAUAAUGAGGAUGAUGUGGAAUACACAGCCAUACUAUCACAGUUGAAAAGUUAUGCAACAUUACAGAUUCAUGCUAAAGCCCUUGCAACUGGAUACAGUCGAGAUCUUUCUGGAGAGAUCGUCGGAUGUGACGACUUAUACAUUUUUCUACUUGUCAACUGGAUUUGUUGAACAUUGUGAAACAUUCUGAAAAUUCACCCUCUGCGAGACGUCUUCAUUUUAAGUUGUAUGACAAAGAUGCAAAGUUUUUUGCGCCAGGCAUGUCAUCAGCUGUUCUCUAACAGCCAAAGCGGAAUCUCACCUGCAGUCGUAUUUGAACAUCGAAUGGACAAUCGAAGUCCUCCUUUGAUAAUGGCUGUGUCAUAAUUCGAGUGAUUUGCCCUUCGUCCUCGCCAAUGAGAUUCACUGCUAUCAUUAGCGUUUGCGAGCCACUGAGGCUUUUCAUUGAGACGAAAGUUCCAGCUAAGAAAAGUAUUGAAAAACUGAUGCAGUUACUAAUCUGUUGCAUUGUACUUUAAUAGAAUAAAAAUAUCGAAAUGUAACAUUUGUGCAUUGUCAGGGAGGAAGAAUAAAUUAAUUUUACAUCAGGUUGA